UAGGUAGGAAGUAUCGAACUGGAUCACGAGGGGUCCUAUGGCCUGCUCUCCUGAUGUUCAGUGCCCUUCACCAGGUGCUUCUGAGGACAAGAAACUCUUUGGUGAGGUGUCUCAAAGAGACAGGCACAGUACCCUGCUUAAAGAGCUCUGCAGAGACAGUUUAAACGGGACUACUGUUUCAAGCCGUCAGCUGCUGCAGGAAGCUAAGCCAUAUUUUUAAUGAUUUUGCAGCUGUCAGAAUUAUGAAGGCAAAACCAUGACUUUCCAAGAGACCAUAGGCCACAUUUCUGCAAAAAAGGGUAGAUUAGGGAUGACUCAGUAGCACAGAAUCUCUGGAGUCUUGAUUUCAGUCUCCGAGGGAUGGGUUUCUGUCUUAGUGACUAUAUUUAAAUUUGAGGAAGGCUAGUGGAUAACAACAAAUUUAUGAGAGAAUCGUUGAGAGAAUACUUCUGGUGCUGAAGACACACCGUCAGCUCCAUUGCCAACUUAAUGUGGUCAUAUCAAGCUAAGCCAAGGGUCCUGACCUGACUUCUGCUGGAUACGUGUGUGUCUAACCCUUCUCCUUUCCGAGAAGAAGCCAGCUCAGAAUGAGGAUGUGUAUCUGAAGGGAGAACAUGCUUUACCGCAGCCCCCUCCCCAAAAGAGGAAAACACUCUUAAGUAAUCCAGUGAGACCAGCAGUGGGUUGUGCUUGCUGUUUUUGGUAAUCAACGCCUUGGAGAGGUGCACUUGCCUCUCAGCCUUUUCUCAAAGCCAACAAGCAAGAGAUGGUGAUGGAUACCAGUUGCUUUUGACCUGCUUUUGGAAA
rnacentral:lncRNA from 1 species